GAAUAUGUGCAGGCCUGUUCUUCUCUACACCUGUGCAUAAAAAUGUAUCAAACUUAAAAUAUGGACAUUUAUUGCGGUGAACAGGGACUGAGUGAGUUUUAAUUUUAUUCUUUAUAUUGUUACAAUGCUCCAUAAAUCUAAUUUUCAGAGCUCUACUCGUCCUGCCCACAUAUUGAAUACCGCACCCACAUGUUAAUAAAUAG